rnacentral:snoRNA from 1 species
CUUCAUUUUAUCUGAGGGACCUGUAUGUUGUGGUAGUCUCCCUUCCUAGCCAUGGAAGAGCAAAACUGUCACCAUUUAAUAGGUAUCAGACUCUGACUUGCACAAGUAAAGUUC